rnacentral:sRNA from 1 species
ACUCGAGAACCUUAUAUGGUAGUUUGCUUUGAUGUUAGGUCUGAAAAGUUCAAGUUUUUAGUU